rnacentral:rRNA from 1 species
AGCGAACGCUGGCGGCAGGCCUAACACAUGCAAGUCGAACGAACCCUUCGGGGUUAGUGGCGGACGGGUGAGUAACACGUGGGAACGUACCUUUAGGUUCGGAACAACACAGGGAAACUUGUGCUAAUGCCGAAUGUGCCCUUCGGGGGAAAGAUUUAUCGCCUUUAGAGCGGCCCGCGUCUGAUUAGCUUGUUGGUGAGGUAAAGGCUCACCAAGGCUUCGAUCAGUAGCUGGUCUGAGAGGAUGAUCAGCCACACUGGGACUGAGACACGGCCCAGACUCCUACGGGAGGCAGCAGUGGGGAAUCUUGCGCAAUGGGCGAAAGCCUGACGCAGCCAUGCCGCGUGAAUGAUGAAGGUCUUAGGAUUGUAAAAUUCUUUCACCGGGGAAGAUAAUGACGGUACCCGGAGAAGAAGCCCCGGCUAACUUCGUGCCAGCAGCCGCGGUAAAAUCCGUGUA